UACGUAGGGUGCAAGCGUUGUCCGGAAUUAUUGGGCGUAAAGAGCUCGUAGGCGGUCUGUCGCGUCGGAUGUGAAAACCCAGGGCUCAACCCUGGGCCUGCAUUCGAUACGGGCAGACUAGAGUUCGGUAGGGGAGACUGGAAUUCCUGGUGUAGCGGUGAAAUGCGCAGAUAUCAGGAGGAACACCGGUGGCGAAGGCGGUUCUCUGGGCAUGUCCUGACGCUGAGGAGCGAAAGUGUGGGGAGCGAACAGG
rnacentral:rRNA from 1 species